GCGAACGGUCGAAAUGGAUUCCGAACCGCGGCAAUCCGUUCUGCGCCUCACGCCGAAAGCCGAUGCCGGGUGGCCGUUGAUUUUUACCCAAAUUCGGACCAUUCUGAGAAGUUCUGAGGUCGAAUCGUUGAGGAUCGUGUGGAUUUGGAUGUUUCUGCUGUCAAUUCUUCGGAGAAAGUAGUUGUUUUGGAUGAAUUUUCAGUUCUGGAUUCUCACGGAUGCCACUCACGUCACAGCCUCCAGACCACGUGACUGCGUACAAAAGACCGUCGCUCGCACUCCGUAUCCCUUCGGGAUCAGCAACGGUCGACAAAAUGGAUCCGAAAUCCCAAGGAACUACAAUCGACGGCACUGAUUUGUCGGAUUUGGAGAUUUCGGCAGUCACGCAAUGGUUGUACACGAAGGCAAGAAUGGAAUUAAAUGUGGAGAAGAUUUUCUGGAGAAAACGGAGAAAAUUACGGGAUUGGAGUGUGAUAUUUUGGCACUUAUACGUAUAGGAUUCUGAAAAAUAUCCCGUUUUUAAAGAUAGGCUAGAAAACUUCUUCCCAUGUUAUGUUAAUAUUUCCGAACCCUCACGUAUUUUCAUCAAGAAGAAAACCGAAAUAUCAUCCAGGGACAGCUGCAGCCCAUCAGAGAGGAAAAAUAUAUUUUCCGAAUAUAUCGGGAAAAAUCGGGAAACAUCGAAGGGAGAAAUGUUUCCAUCAUGGAAAUGAAAUGCAAAUUUCCCGAUUUCCAUUUCGACCGCAUCGCCAGAGAGAAAUUUGCCAAAACCGCAGUUGCCUUCAGAGGAAGAAAAAUGAGGGAAAGGAAUAUCAUGUGUCGAAGGUGGACUAAGAAGUAAAUAGAAAUGGACUCAAUGAACUGAAAUUAAUUUCAGAAAAAAAGGGAAUAGAAGCAAACGUUGCAACCUUAAAGGAAACAAAGAAGACGAUAAUUUAAAUAUAAAAUAAAAAUUUCGAAGUUUUUUAGGAGAAACACUGGAUUAUAAUUAAAGGUGGUGUACCCGAAAAAUAAGAAUGGAUUUUACCAAGAAAAUAAAUAAUACCAAUUGAAGAAGAAACUAAUAAGUGUAAAUGAAGAAUUAUUAAUAGAAGAAGAGAAGAAGAUAGUUCAGAGAUGGAUUACAUU